AUUGAACGCUGGCGGCAGGCCUAACACAUGCAAGUCGAACGGAGUGGCGGACGGGUGAGUAAUGUCUGGGAAACUGCCUGGUAGUGGGGGAUAACGUCAGGAAACGGGCGCUAAUACCGCAUACUAUCAGAUGAGCCCAGGUUGGAUUAGCUAGUGGGUGGGGUAAAGGCUGACCCAGGCGACGAUCCGUCAAUGGUCUGAGAGGAUGAUCAGUCACACUGGAACUGAGACACGGUCCAGACUCCUACGGGAGGCAGCAGUGGGGAAUAUUGGACAAUGGGCGAAAGCCUGAUCCAGCCAUGCCGCGUGUGUGAAGAAGGUCUUCGGAUUGUAAAGUACUUUAAGUUGGGAGGCGUUACCAACAGAAUAAGCACCGGCUAACUUCGUGCCAGCAGCCGCGGUAAUUC
rnacentral:rRNA from 1 species